rnacentral:lncRNA from 1 species
AAGAGAGGAUGGAGUCUCCCAUUUCCCUCCAAUGGGUUUGGCAUCUGCCAGUUGAGAAGUGUACCAUUUGCAUCCGCUACCGCCCCAGCCCCGCCGGGCGAGACAAGGCCCACAUCUGAUCCUUCACUAUGAGAGGGUCUACUUGAGAGUGGCAUGUGUGCACACCAGUCCUAAAGAGCAGCAUCUUCCAGUCUGCAACGGUUGCAUAGGAAUCGGUAUUUCACGACGACGCCACAUUCGCCCAUCGGAGAGCCAUCUCAGGACUUCCACAAAUCCCAGCACUGUCUUUUCUUUGUCCUAUUUUCCAAAUACGUGCAGGUUUGGAAAGGCUGUGAGAAAUAUACGGGAUGAUGAAUCAACACGCCCUGACAGGCGUCUUAGCCGUUGUUCAAGCGGUACCUCGCUCCUAGGUGGCUUGGACCACCUCCAGCGUGUGCAGCCCUAUCCGAAAUAAAUGGUGCUCAUUGUCAUGGCUGACUGCAAGACACAAUCAGUCGUGUGCCAGUCUAUAAUAUUCAUAGCAAUUGUCAGAUAGCUACCAUUUUUCAUCAGUGCAUUGCUUAUACAUUAUUAUUACAUCGGCUUGUUCUUUAUUAUAGAGCCUGUCCUGUGUUGUUUGAGCUGAUACGAUUUAGAAUUGAGAAAUGAAGCCAUGUGAUCAAAUAUCACUAGUGCCUCAUCUAAAGUAGAAGAAACAAAUAACGGGCACUAAUCUGUCUCUGCUCAUUGACUGGCGAUACAAGGAAGGUGGUUUGAUGUUUUACUGUGAAAGGCUGGGGGCGGGGCGGGUCGGGGGGGUAUAAUGCCUGCAACAGAACACAACGCAGUCUUAAUUUGUAGAGGCUGCUGUGUCCUGCUUUUUCUUUUUGGAAAGGCAGGUCAUUCAUCAUUUAGCUGGCUGUUAUUUUUAAUGAGCCUGUUAUCAUUCAUUUUAGGGCACCCCACCUUUCGUUGACAUGGAUAGUAUUUCUUUUUUAUAUAGGACGCACGAUUUAUGCAUCCUCGCCUCCUCUUUCUUCAAACUUUCGUUCAGGUGUGCCUUUGCUGCCGGCCGUCGAUCCCCUCCUGUCCUCACCGGGGAUUCUGUCGGCCUCGCCGCCCCGGGAUACAGGUCUAAGUGGAUUCGCAGCCAAAACAAUGUCCGGCCGGGCUUGUUUGUCCUUCACUUUAUUUUUUUAAUUUCAUGUUCUCAUAUUUCCACAGCAUGGAAGACUGGGAGGUGGGCUUUCGAAGGCUGCUGGUUCAAAUUCGGAAACAGUCGCAGUGGUGUCCGGCAGCACAGACUAUAUUACUGGAACAUUACUUCAGUAUGACAAGCACAAAUUAAUCAGCAGAGGAUUAUGUCAAAUGUGUUUUGAUUUAAAUAAACAUCCUUGAUUGAUAACGAUGAAGCA